rnacentral:rRNA from 1 species
UACGAAGGGGGCUAGCGUUGCUCGGAAUCACUGGGCGUAAAGCGCACGUAGGCGGACUCUUAAGUCAGGGGUGAAAUCCUGGAGCUCAACUCCAGAACUGCCUUUGAUACUGGGAGUCUUGAGUUCGGGAGAGGUGAGUGGAACUGCGAGUGUAGAGGUGAAAUUCGUAGAUAUUCGGAAGAACACCAGUGGCGAAGGCGACUCGCUGGACAAGUAUUGACGCUGAGGUGCGAAAGCG